AUUGAACGCUGGCGGCAGGCCUAACACAUGCAAGUCGAGCGGAUGAAGGGAGCUUGCUCCUGGAUUCAGCGGCGGACGGGUGAGUAAUGCCUAGGAAUCUGCCUGGUAGUGGGGGAUAACGUCCGGAAACGGGCGCUAAUACCGCAUACGUCCUGAGGGAGAAAGUGGGGGAUCUUCGGACCUCACGCUAUCAGAUGAGCCUAGGUCGGAUUAGCUAGUUGGUGGGGUAAAGGCCUACCAAGGCGACGAUCCGUAACUGGUCUGAGAGGAUGAUCAGUCACACUGGAACUGAGACACGGUCCAGAAUCCUACGGGAGGCAGCAGUGGGGAAUAUUGGACAAUGGGCGAAAGCCUGAUCCAGCCAUGCCGCGUGUGUGAAGAAGGUCUUCGGAUUGUAAAGCAAUUUAAGUUGGGAGGAAGGACAGUAAGUUAAUACCUUGCUGUUUUGACGUUACCAACAGAAUAAGCACCGGCUAACUUCGU
rnacentral:rRNA from 1 species